rnacentral:lncRNA from 8 species
GUGUAAAAUACAAACAUUUAGGAAAAGUCAGGGAGCAGGACAUAGAUUUAUCUGUGUUUGUUUCUAGUGUUAAAAGGCCAUUCCGACACUUUUCAACCUCAUAUUCAUCCUCUCCAGCACCAAAACAGUAUCUAUAUUUGUGAAAACAGGACGUUUCUAUGAUCUGUAGUUAAAAAGAUUAGAAACAAUUAUCUGUGACAUAAAAGUAAAACACUGAUUUUCAAAACCUGUGAUGAGUUUCUAGCACAAUGGAGGGUAUAGUAUUGCUCCCCACACCACUGACAAUCUAAUGGUGUUUGAAAAUCACUGCUUUUAAAAUGUUUCAACUUUUGAUAAUGCCAUAGAGUAGAAUUUUUUUCUUUUUUUUCUACAAAACUUAGAAAUGCACCAUUUUAACAUAUGAUUUUAUUUUUACGGCUGAAUUAUAUAUAAUUAUUUUUAUAUAUAAUUUGCCUCCACAGCAACAUGAACACCUGAAUACUUUCACAUGCAAACUAGAGGAGGCUGGUGGAGGAGCUAUAGGAGAACGGGCUCAGUGUAAAGUCUGGAAUGGAAUAAAUGGAACGGUAUCAAAUUCAUUUAUUGAAUCCAUUUCAGCCAUAAAAAUAAACCCAUCCUCCUAUAACUCCUCCCACCAGCCUCCUCUUGGAAAUGUCUAUGUUCUGAUAAAAGAGAAGUUGAGAGUAUCACAUAUUGUUUCUGUUUUAUCUACAUGUAUCUACAUUAAAACACAUCUUUUGUUCUUAAGACUGAUGGGGAAGAGUGGGGUGUAAAGGAUUUUGCAACACUUCUGCAGUUGGCACAACCUUGUGACUAAGUUAACUUCCUGUUUGCAAUACUUGGCAGGAUUUCAACGUCAUCUUUCAGCCUUCCCGAAACCAAAGACAAACUCUGUACAGGAUCUGCAUUUUAUAACCUUUUGAGAACUUUCCUGCAAUGUAGGGAAUUGAAAAAUUGUAGUGUAUUUGAGAUUAAUAAAAAAAGGAUUUUGAAGUUUGUAAUAUGGACUACUUCCUCUGCAAGAGCGUCAGAAAAUAUGUGAUUUCCUCACAUGGAAUUGUAAAUAAGUUUGUAGACUACGCAGUUACAAAAUGGCUGUAGAAACUGUGGCACAUAUUUCUCUGUACACUUCGAAGUCGGAUAAAUGUGUUGAUUUGAAGGAAAGAUGGGCAGACUCUGGUAAGUCUAGGCUAAUUAUUAUGAAGUUAGGCCGUCAAACAUUCAACAGACAGAGUAGGCUGGAGAUAUGAUCCUUUAUAUUGCUGAACAACCUGAUGGUCUCCGUAGGAAAUGUUUUUAAAUAUCCUUUAUAUUGAUGAUGACCUGAUGGUCUCUGUAGGAAAUGUUUUUAAAUAUCCUUUAUAUUGCUGAUGACCUGAUGGUCUCUGUA